UACGAAGGGGGCUAGCGUUGCUCGGAAUCACUGGGCGUAAAGGGCGCGUAGGCGGCUUGCCAAGUCGGGGGUGAAAGCCCGGGGCUCAACCUCGGAUCGGCCGUGGCGACUCGUGGGCUGGAGCACUGUAGAGGCGGGUGGAAUUCCGGGUGUAGCGGUGGAAUGCGUAGAGAUCCGGAAGAACACCAGUGGCGAAGGCGGCCCGCUGGGCAGCGGCUGACGCUGAGGCGCGACAGCGUGGGGAGCAAACAGGAUUAG
rnacentral:rRNA from 1 species